rnacentral:rRNA from 1 species
UGGGGAAUAUUGCUCAAUGGGCGAAAGCCUGAAGCAGCAACGCCGCGUGGGGGAUGAAGGUUCUCGGAUUGUAAACCCCUUUCGAUCGGAACGAAUCCCCUCCUGGUGAACAAUCAGGAGGAUCGACGGUACCGAGAGAAGAAGCCACGGCUAACUCUGUGCCAGCAGCCGCGGUAAGACAGAGGUGGCGAGCGUUGUUCGGAUUUAUUGGGCGUAAAGCGUACGCAGGCGGUUUGGUAAGUCAGAGGUGAAAGCCCACAGCUUAACUGUGGUACUGCCUUUGAUACUGCCUUUCUAGAGUGCAUGAGGGGGAAGCGGAAUUCCGAGUGUAGAGGUGAAAUUCGUAGAUAUUCGGAGGAACACCGGUGGCGAAGGCGGCUUCCUGGCAUGCAACUGACGC